AGAGUUUGAUCCUGGCUCAGGACGAACGCUGGCGGCGUGCUUAACACAUGCAAGUCGAGCGAUGAAACUUACUUCGGUAGUGAAUUAGCGGCGAACGGGUGAGGAACACGUGAGGAAUCUGCCUUCAACACUGGGAUAACUCCGGGAAACCGGGGCUAAUACCGGAUACGAGCCUUGAUCGCAUGAUCGAGGCUGGAAAGUUCUUCGGUUGAAGAUGACCUCGCGGGCCUAUCAGCUUGUUGGUGAGGUAAUGGCUCACCAAGGCGACGACGGGUAGCCGGCCUGAGAGGGCGGCCGGCCACACUGGGACUGAGACACGGCCCAGACUCCUACGGGAGGCAGCAGUGGGGAAUAUUGGGCAAUGGAGGAAACUCUGACCCAGCGACGCCGCGUGCGGGAUGAAGGCCUUCGGGUUGCAAACCGCUUUCAGCAGGGAAGAAGCGAAAGUGACGGUACCUGCAGAAGAAGCACCGGCUAACUAUGUGCCAGCAGCCGCGGUAAUACAUAGGGUGCAAGCGUUGUCCGGAAUUAUUGGGCGUAAAGAGCUCGUAGGUGGUUCGUCACGUCGGAUGUGAAACUCUGGGGCUUAACCCCAGACCUGCAUUCGAUACGGGCGAGCUUGAGUAUGGUAGGGGAGUCUGGAAUUCCUG
rnacentral:rRNA from 1 species